rnacentral:lncRNA from 1 species
AGUGGGUCUGGUCAAUUGCUUAUUGAGUUAGGUGAGAGUGGUCUGGUCAAUUGCUUAUUGAAUCAGGUUAGAGUGGGUCUGGUCAGUUGGUUAUUGAAUCAGGUUAGAGUGGGUCUGGUCAGCUGCUUAUUGAAUCAGGUUAGAGUGGGUCUGGUCAGCUGCUUAUUGAAUCAGGUGAGAGUGGGUCUGGUCAGCUGCUUAUUGAAUCAGGUUAGAGUGGGUCUGGUCAGCUGCUUAUUGAAUCAGGUUAGAGUGGGUCUGGUCAGCUGCUUAUUGAAUCAGGUUAGAGUGGGUCUGGUCAGCUGCUUAUUGAAUCAGGUUAGAGUGGGUCUGGUCAGUUGGUUAUUGAAUCAGGUUAGAGUGGGUCUGGUCAGCUGCUUAUUGAAUCAGGUUAGAGUGGGUCUGGUCAGCUGCUUAUUGAAUCAGGUUAGAGUGGGUCUGGUCAGCUGCUUAUUGAAUCAGGUUAGAGUGGGUCUGGUCAGCUGCUUAUUGAAUCAGGUUAAAGUGGGUCUGGUCAGCUGCUUAUUGAAUCAGGUUAAAGUGGGUCUGGUCAGCUGCUUAUUGAAUCAGGUUAGAGUGGGUCUGGUCAGCUGCUUAUUGAAUCAGGUUAGAGUCGGUCUGGUCAGUUGGUUAUUGAAUCAGGUUAGAGUGGGUCUGGUCAGCUGCUUAUUGAAUCAGGUUAGAGUGGGUCUGGUCAGUUGGUUAUUGAAUCAGGUUAGAGUGGGUCUGGUCAGCUGCUUAUUGAAUCAGGUUAGAGUCGGUCUGGUCAGUUGGUUAUUGAAUCAGGUUAGAGUGGGUCUGGUCAGCUGCUUAUUGAAUCAGGUUAGAGUGGGUCUGGUCAGUUGGUUAUUGAAUCAGGUUAGAGUGGGUCUGGUCAGCUGCUUAUUGAAUCAGGUUAGAGUCGGUCUGGUCAGUUGGUUAUUGAAUCAGGUUAGAGUGGGUCUGGUCAGCUGCUUAUUGAAUCAGGUUAGAGUGGGUCUGGAACUAAAGCCAGUGCACACAGCACCUACUGUUGGUAAACCUCAAGUCAGGGUGUGA